GACGUAGGUGGCGAACGUUAUCCGGAAUUAUUGGGCGUAAAGGAUGCGUAGAUGGUGUAGUAAGUUAUCGGUGGUAAAUCGAGGCUCAACCUCGUGGAAGUCGGUAAUACUGCUAUGCUAGAGGAUAGGAGAGGUUAACGGAACUCCCUGUGGAGCGGUGAAAUGCGUAGAUAUAGGGAAGAACACCAAUAAGGCGAAGGCAGUUAACUAUUCUAUUCCUGACAUUGAGGCAUGGAAAGCGUGGGGAGCAAAACGG
rnacentral:rRNA from 1 species